rnacentral:rRNA from 1 species
CCUACGGGAGGCAGCAGUAGGGAAUUUUCGGCAAUGGGGGGAACCCUGACCGAGCAACGCCGCUUGAACUACUCAUUUCUUCCUAAUGUACAGUUCUUUUAACAGGGAAGAAAGAGAAAUUUGACGGUACCUGAAGAAUAAGCUCCGGCUAACUACGUGCCAGCAGCCGCGGUAAUACGUAGGAAGCGAGCGUUAUCCGGAAUUAUUGGGCGUAAAGGGUGCGUAGAUGGCAUAGUAAGGCUUGUGUAAAAAUGCUGGGCUCAACACAGUAGGGCAAAAGAUACUGCAAAGCUAGAGUAUGACAGAGGCAAGUGGAACUACAUGUGUAGCGGUAAAAUGCGUAAAUAUAUGUAAGAACACCAGUGGCGAAGGCGGCUUGCUGGGUCGAUACUGACAUUGAGGCACGAAAGCGGGGGGAGCAAACAGGAUUAGAUACCCCAGUAGUC